CUCGCCGAAAUCCUAGCCCCACCAUGCCCGGCCUGGAAGGACCUGCCACCGGAGCUUGUCUGCCGCAUCGCCGACGGCCUUGAUGACCUCAAGUGCUACGUGAGUGCGCGGGGUGCCUGCCCGACAUGGCAUCACAUGCUUGCGCCGCCAUCGCCAUCACUGCUUAUCAACCACAACGACGACCCUGCCAAGCGCUGCACCGCCUCUACCAUCAAGCGUCGUACCACCGCAACCUCAAUCCUCACGGGCCGCUCCUUCAUUCUCACCACCAUCCCAUCAGUCAGGACCUGUCUCGGCUACUGUAGCGGAUGGCUCGCCCUCUCCGUUCACAUCGAUGAUGUCCGUAGCCUACUCAGCCUCUUCCACCCCAUCACGGCCGCCGAGAUCCUCCUACCCCCGCUUGUCUAUGACAGCCGCCUCGUCUCCAAGAUUGUCUUUGCUCCCAACCCUGCCACUGACAACUUCGUGGCUGCUGUGAUAUGUGACAUCGAUAGGGUUGCCUACGUCACCGCAGGGGCCAGGAGGUGGUCCGUCCUUGACCCCAUCCACCUCACUGUUGGAGACCAGUUCGUCGACCUCCUCUACCACGAAAAUGGUAGGGUCUACUUCCUCACUCGGUUUGGAGACGUCCAUGUACUCUUCCUUCCGCAGCGCCACCACCGGGAACCUAUCAUCCUCGAGGGCAAAACAUCAAUAUAUCCUGCAGUGCAUAAUAGGAAAAUCAUCCAGAUGCAUGGGACAAGACCGGAUCUAAAUGCGCCGGCCACCAUUAAGUCAUUGUUGUCAUCUAUGGGAAGCAAACUAUCGUUUGACGCAACCACCAGUUUUGCCCCGCCAUACAACACAAUCUCAACUUUCACUAGUGUCAAGAACCUCGUGUUCUGCGAUGGUAACCUGUACCAAAUCUGGAGGAAUGCAUCAUGCACAGUCACUUUGCAGUUGCAAGAAGGGGGUCGAUGUCAUAUAGAACAUGAUGAAAUAUUUGGUCUGAGGUAUGACCCCCACCGCCGACCAUGUUGGGACAUUGUGUACGACUUAAGGGGAUACUCGGUGUUUAUUGGGAGGAACAAUUCAGUGUCAAUAUACGCAGAAGGCGUUCCGGGACUCAAGGCUAAUUGUGUGUACUGGAUUGGUGGGAGGGGUAGGGAUCAGGGCAUGGUCUUUGACAUGAAGACUAGCAAGUCAACACCUUGCAUUCCCCUCAUGGAUGGUGUUCUUCCGGGGUCUCUACAAAGCACAAUCUGCUGGUACUUUCUGAGUGAC
rnacentral:rRNA from 1 species